AUUGAACGCUGGCGGAAUGCUUUACACAUGCAAGUUGAACGGUAGAGGGGCAACCCUUGAGAGUGGCGAACGGGUGAGUAAUGUAUCGGAACGUGCCCAGUCGUGGGGGAUAACGUAGCGAAAGUUACGCUAAUACCGCAUACGAUCUAUGGAUGAAAGCGGGGGAUCGCAAGACCUCGCGCGAUUGGAGCGGUCGAUAACAGAUUAGGUAGUUGGUGGGGUAAAGGCCUACCAAGCCGACGAUCUGACGCUGGUCUGAGGGGACGACCAGCCACCCUGGGACUGAGACACGGCCCAGACUCCUACGGGAGGCAGCAGUGGGGAAUUUUGGACAAUGGACGAAAGUCUGAUCCAGCCAUUCCGCGUGCAGGAUGAAGGCCUGCGGGUUGUAAACUGCUUUUGUACGGAACGAAAGGGCUCUGGUUAAUACCUGGAGCUCAUGACGGUACCGUAAGAAUAAGCACCGGCUAACUACGUGCCAGCCGCCGCAGUAAGAC
rnacentral:rRNA from 1 species